rnacentral:rRNA from 1 species
UACGUAGGGGGCAAGCGUUGUCCGGAAUCAUUGGGCGUAAAGCGCGCGUAGGCGGCCAGACAAGUCCGGUGUGAAAGCCACAGGCUCAACCUGUGAAUGCCGCUGGAAACUUUCUGGCUAGAGUCCGGAAGGGGCGAGUGGAAUUCCUGGUGUAGCGGUGAAAUGCGCAGAUAUCAGGAGGAACACCGGUGGCGAAGGCGGCAUCCUGGACCGACACUGACGCUGAGGCGCGAAAGCUAGGGGAGCAAACGGG